UACGUAGGGCGCAAGCGUUGUCCGGAAUUAUUGGGCGUAAAGAGCUCGUAGGCGGUCUGUCGCGUCUGGUGUGAAAACCCGAGGCUCAACCUCGGGCUGGCAUCGGGUACGGGCGGACUAGAGUGCUGUAGGGGAGACUGGAAUUCCUGGUGUAGCGGUGGAAUGCGCAGAUAUCAGGAGGAACACCGAUGGCGAAGGCAGGUCUCUGGGCAGUUACUGACGCUGAGGAGCGAAAGCAUGGGGAGCGAACAGG
rnacentral:rRNA from 1 species